rfam:Ixodes scapularis strain Wikel colony gcontig_1108379808318, whole genome shotgun sequence.
GGCCUGCUAGCUCAGUCGGUUAGAGCGUCGUGCUAAUAACACGAGGGUCACCGGUUCGAUAUUUGUGCAGGCCA